UGCUAAAGAUGCAGAUUCUGUCAGUCCUGAUGCAGUGCUCAUCAGUGUGUGGCUGCCUGUUGUCAUUGUGCUUCUGCUGCUGUUACUGCUGUCAACUGUCUGUGUGUGUUGGAGAGCAGCAGAAAUGCAGAAAGGUUGUGGAAUAACUUAUGAUCUCUGUCAUGAGGAAUGGGCACUUGACAGUGUUCAGGGAGUGAAGGGCCUUAAUGAUUGGACACUGGCCGAAGUUCUCUAUGCACCUAUACAGAGAAAUAAUUCUUUAUAAAUCGUUUAAUGUCCUUUAUUGCACUUAACAUCCCCAUUUGUCUUUAAUACAGUGGAAAAGCUUCAGUGUCUCUGAAACAAUAAUUAUAUUUUUAAAACAUUUGUAUGUCCCCUUAUCUUUAGAUGCAUUGAACUGUGUAAUGAUCACUCAAAUGUUUUUUUUGUGUGUGUCCGC